AGGGUGUAAACGCUGCAGACUUGGUGUUGGGGGCCCUUUGGGGGCAUUCAGUGCCGGAGAGAAGUUGUUAAGUCUGCUACUUGGGGAGUACGUCCGCAAGGAUGAACUUAAAGGAAUUGGCGGGGGAGCACCGCAACGGGAGGAGCGUGCGGUUUAAUUGGAUUCAACACCGUAAAACUCACCAGGGAAGACUGUUACACGAAGGCCGAGAUGAAGACUCUGCUAGAUUUUCAGAGAGGAGGUGCAUGGCGUCAGUGACU
rnacentral:rRNA from 1 species